UGGGGAAUUUUGGGCAACCCUGAUCCAGCAAUGCCGCGUGUGUGAAGAAGGCCUGCGGGUUGUAAAGCACUUUCAGUAGAGAAGAAAAGCUUAGGGUUAAUACCCCUGAGUCUUGACGUUACCUACAGAAGAAGCACCGCCUAACUCCGUGCCAGCAGCCGCGGUAAUACGGAGGGUGCAAGCGUUAAUCGGAAUUACUGGGCGUAAAGCGCGCGUAGGUGGUUGUGUAAGUCGGAUGUGAAAGCCCAGGGCUUAACCUUGGAAUUGCAUCCGAUACUGCAUGACUAGAGUAUGGUAGAGGGAAGUGGAAUUUCCGGUGUAGCGGUGAAAUGCGUAGAUAUCGGAAGGAACACCAGUGGCGAAGGCGGCUCACUGGCUCGAUACUGACGCUGAGGUGCGAAAGUGUGGGGAGCAAACAGGAUUAGAUACCCGUGUAGUCC
rnacentral:rRNA from 1 species